rnacentral:rRNA from 1 species
ACGGAAGGCAGCAGCUAAGAAUAUUCCGCAAUGGGGGGAACCCUGACGGAGCGACGCCGCGUGGGCGAUGGAGGCCGGAAGGUUGUAAAGCCCUUUUUCCGCCGAGGAAGAAGCGCCGCAGGGAAUGGCGGCGCGGUGACGGUAGGCGGGGAAUAAGCAUCGGCUAAUUACGUGCCAGCAGCCGCGGUAACACGUAAGAUGCUAGCGUUGUUCGGAAUUAUUGGGCGUAAAGGGCAUGCAGGCGGUUCGUCAAGCCUCGUGUUGAAUCGCCGGGCUCAACCCGGCGCUGCGCGGGGAACUGGCGGGCUAGAGUUGUCGAAGGGCGGCCGGAAUUCCGGGUGUAGGGGUGAAAUCUGCAGAUAUCCGGAAGAACACCGAUGGCGAAGGCAGGCUGCCGGCGGACGACUGACGCUGAGAUGCGAAGGCGCGGGUAGCGAACAGGAUUAGAUACCCUGGUA